rnacentral:rRNA from 1 species
UUGCUCCUUUGCCGGCGAGUGGCGCACGGGUGCGUAACGCGUAUACAACCUACCUUAUACAGGGGUAUAGCCCAGGGAAACUUGGAUUAACACCCCAUAGUAAUAUGUUUUGGCAUCAUUACAUAUUUAAAACUACGGUGGUAUAAGAUGGGUAUGCGUCCCAUUAGCUUGUUGGUGUGGUAACGGCACACCAAGGCUACGAUGGGUAGGGGCCCUGAGAGGGGGAUCCCCCACACUGGUACUGAGACACGGACCAGACUCCUACGGGAGGCAGCAGUGAGGAAUAUUGGACAAUGGGCGGGAGCCUGAUCCAGCCAUGCCGCGUGCAGGAAGACUGCCCUAUGGGUUGUAAACUGCUUUUAUACGGGAAGAAACCCACCUACGUGUAGGUGGCUGACGGUACCGUAAGAAUAAGGACCGGCUAACUCCGUGCCAGCAGCCGCGGUAAUACGGAGGGUCCGAGCGUUAUCCGGAAUCAUUGGGUUUAAAGGGUCCGCAGG